GGGGCCUGGGAUAACUGUUCUAACGGACAGGUAAUACCAGGUAAGCCGGUUGUGUCGCAUGACACGAUCGGGAGAGGGCAACCGCCCUAGGAGGGGCCCAUGCGAUAUUAGCUAGUUGGCGGGGUAAUGGCCCACCAAGGCGAUGAUGUCUAGCGGGUGUGAGAGCACGACCCGCGCCAUUGGCACUGAGACACUGGCCAGACUCCUACGGGAGGCUGCAGUCGAGAAUCUUCGGCAAUGGGCGAAAGCCUGACCGAGCGACGCCGCGUGUGCGAUGAAGGCCCUUCGGGUUGUAAAGCACUGUCGAGAGGAAACAAGCCGCAAGGUUGAGUGACCUCUGGAGGAAGCACGGGCUAAGUUCGUGCCAGCAGCCGCGGUAAGACGAACCGUGCGAACGUUGUUCGGAAUCACUGGGCUUAAAGGGUGCGUAGGCGGAAUGGCAAGUCGGAGGUGAAAGCCCCCAGCUUAACUGGGGAAGUGCCCUCGAUACUGCUGUUCUCGAGAGAGGUAGGGGCGUGUGGAACUUCCGGUGGAGCGGUGAAAUGCGUAGAUAUCGGAAGGAACGCCGGUGGCGAAAGCGAUGCGCUGGACCUUUUCUGACGCUGA
rnacentral:rRNA from 1 species